UGUUGAUAGCACGAAAAAAGC
ensembl:piRNA 21ur-1281 ncRNA